rnacentral:rRNA from 1 species
CGGGUGAGUAACGCGUGGGUAACCUGCCAUAUACAUGGGGAUAACACUUAGAAAUAGGUGCUAAUACCGCAUAAGCGCACAUGGCCGCAUGGCCAGGUGUGAAAAACUCCGGUGGUAUAUGAUGGACCCGCGUCUGAUUAGCUAGUUGGUGAGGUAACGGCCCACCAAGGCGACGAUCAGUAGCCGGCCUGAGAGGGUGGACGGCCACAUUGGGACUGAGACACGGCCCAAACUCCUACGGGAGGCAGCAGUGGGGGAUAUUGGACAAUGGGGGGAACCCUGAUCCAGCGACGCCGCGUGAGUGAAGAAGUAUCUCGGUAUGUAAAGCUCUAUCAGCAGGGAAGAAAGAAAUGACGGUACCUGAGUAAGAAGCCCCGGCUAACUACGUGCCAGCAGCCGCGGUAAUACGUAGGGGGCAAGCGUUAUCCGGAAUUACUGGGUGUAAAGGGAGCGUAGACGGUGAUGUAAGUCUGGAGUGAAAGGCGGGGGCCCAACCCCCGGACUGCUCUGGAAACUAUAUGACUGGAGUGCAGGAGAGGUGAGCGGAAUUCCUAGUGUAGCGGUGAAAUGCGUAGAUAUUAGGAGGAACACCAGUGGCGAAGGCGGCUCACUGGACUGUAACUGACGUUGAGGCUCGAAAGCGUGGGGAGCAAACAGGAUUAGAUACCCUGGUAGUCCACGCCGUAAACGAUGAUCACU